GCAAGUCGAGGGGUAACAGAUGAAGAGCUUGCUUUUAUUGAUGACGACCGGCGCACGGGUGCGUAACACGUAUUUAACUUGCCACACACUCAGGGAUAGCCUUUUGAAAGAGAGAUUAAUACCUGAUAGUAUAAUUAAUUCGCAUGUUUUGAUUAUUAAAGAUUUAUUGGUGUGUGAUAGGAAUGCGUUCCAUUAGAUAGUAGGUGAGGUAACGGCCCACCUAGUCUACGAUGGAUAGGGGUUCUGAGAGGAAGAUC
rnacentral:rRNA from 1 species